rnacentral:rRNA from 1 species
UACGGGGGGAGCAAGCGUUGUUCGGAUUUACUGGGCGUAAAGGGCGCGUAGGCGGCCUGAUAAGUAGGGGGUGAAAUCCUGCGGCUUAACCGCAGGGCUGCCUUCUAAACUGUCAGGCUAGAGCACAGUAGAGGCAGGUGGAAUUCCCGGUGUAGCGGUGGAAUGCGUAGAGAUCGGGAGGAACACCGGUGGCGAAGGCGGCUACCUGGACCGGUUCUGACGCUGACUGCGCGAAAGCGUGGGGAGCAAACAGGG